CCAGACUCCUACGGGAGGCAGCAGUGAGGAAUAUUGGUCAAUGGGCGCGAGCCUGAACCAGCCAAGUCGCGUGAGGGAAGACGGUCCUAUGGAUUGUAAACCUCUUUUGUCGGGGAGCAAAAGACGCCACGUGUGGCGUUCCGAGAGUACCCGAAGAAAAAGCAUCGGCUAACUCCGUGCCAGCAGCCGCGGUAAUACGGAGGAUGCGAGCGUUAUCCGGAUUUAUUGGGUUUAAAGGGUGCGCAGGCGGGAGAUCAAGUCAGCGGUAAAAUGUCGGGGCUCAACCCCGGCCGGCCGUUGAAACUGGUUUUCUAGAGUUGGAGAGAAGUAUGCGGAAUUCGUGGUGUAGCGGUGAAAUGCAUAGAUAUCACGAAGAACUCCGAUUGCGAAGGCAGCAUACCGGCUCCAUACUGACGCUGAGGCACGAAAGCGUGGGGAUCGAACAGGAUUAGAUACCCCAGUAA
rnacentral:rRNA from 1 species